GUUAAUACUCAUAGCUACCCAGAUUGGGAUAGGCAGUGUAAAGGAGUCAGAGCUUCUGUUCAUCAGAAUCCAUACGGCAGAGGUGGGUCAGCCUUUUGGCACUCUAGGGCCUCCAAAAUCCUUUUCAGCCCUGGGAUUAUCUGAUUCUUUGAUUAAUGAAUGUCUUUCAAGAUGCCUACCUUACCAACUUAACCAGGAAAUGAAUUCACUAGUACUGUGACCAGUCAGGGAGAUGGUUCCAGGAGAAGAAAAGAAAGUCAGUUGCUUUCUGAGAUCAGGUGGGAAGUUUAUCCUGUCAACUCCACCUUUAGAGUGCUAGUCUCUGGAGCCACAAGGACUGAAACUCUGCUUCAGAGACCCACCACUGAUGACAACCAUCAGGCUCAGGAACUGAAAAGAAAUGGUGCAAAUGUGGCCGAGGGACUUGGGUUUUACAUUUAUUGCCGAGUCUGGUUUUCUUGAGUUUCAGAUGAUAAAAUUGAAGCCCAGAGAAGCUUGGGAGCCUCAACUAUUAAUGGAAAAACCAUAACUAGAACUGAGUUUUCCUGAGACAUUUUUUACUAUUCAUUCCCCUGCUCUUGGGCCACUCCAGGGCACUGAGCACACUUGCUUUGGCUAUUUGGAGAAGAGGCCAAUAGACACAACUGGCUUCAUCUUCAGGGACACCCAAUAUCUGGCAGCCCUCAGCCCCAGCGGAGUCUUUAUUGAAAGAACUGAUUCAUAGACCAGGCGCGGUGGCUCACGCCUAUAAUCCCAACACUUUGGGAAGCUGAGGUGGGCGGAUCUCAGUCAGGAGAUCGAGACCAUCCUGGCUAACACGGUGAAACCCCAUCUCUACUAAAAAUACAAAAAUAAAAAAAAAAAAUAGCUGGGUGUGGUGGCAGGCGCCUGUAGUCCCAGCACUUUGGGAGGCCGAGGUGGGCAGAUCACAAGGUCAGGAGUUCAAGACCAGCCUGACCAACAUGGUGAAACCCCAUCUCUACUAAAAAAAUACAAAAAUUAGCUGGGUGUGGUGGUGCGCACCUGUAAUCCCAGCCACUCAGAAGGCUGAGGCAGGAGAAUUGCUUGAACCUAGGAGGGGAAGGUUGCAGUGAGCCGAGAUUGCGCCACUGCACUCCAGCCUGGUUGACAGAGCAAGACUCUGUCUCAAGAAAAAAAAAAAGAAAAAGAAAAAAAAAGAAAGAAAGAACUGAUUUAUGAAAAGAUUCUUAUCAUGAUUUUCAUUUUACUAGUCCAAAGAUCACUGAGUUAAACUGCCUAUUUUAGUAGAUGAACAAAAGUGCCUUGAAUAAAGACGUAAUUCAAUAAAAACUUAAUCCUGUCAUAAAAUUGAAUAUUCUCUGGUUCCCCAAUGAACCCCAAAAC
rnacentral:lncRNA from 10 species